CCGGAAGUGGCUGGACCGCGGCGUUUGGGGGUUCAGGAAGGCACUUGGGGAACACUUCAGGGCCCGAGCCGCGAAUUGAGGUCCUCGGGGGGAACGUAAAUGGUUCGGUUUUUUCAUCCAAUGAAGAAGAGCUCUACCAUUUCUGAAACCACCCUUCAAGCCCUCUCAGGCUACUCCUGUUCUGUCAUCAGUCUUCACACCACUGAGCCCUGGGCCAUCAGUCUCUCUGGGUCAUGUGCUUGAGGCCUCCCAAUCCCAUCUUGGAAGAUUUUUGAACUGUCUGGAACAAGGGAGCUCUCUCUGCUCUGGGUACCAAGGGAUGUCCAAGUGCCAGAUACUGGAGUGGGGACCACAAAUCAUCAGGUCCUGUGUCCUUUGGGGGCCCAGGCACUGGUGAGACUGGUGUGUAUGUGCACACAGCACUGGUGUGGGGGGCUGGUGUAACCACCAGGGAACAUCAAACCAGAGCAACCAGUGAGCAGCAGAGGCCUGAGAGAUGCUGUGUGAGAUCCACUCCUGCAGGGAUCCACAUGGUCUGGGUGUCUCUGCAGCUCUGCCUCUCCUCCUGCCAUGGCAGAGCACACAAACAGCCCAUCCCUGUGUCCCUUCUCCACUGACUGUGCUUUGGCCUGGCCUGGAAACUACCCGAGGUCUCUCCCAGGAGGAGUCCCUGUGCAUUUCCCUCCCCCAUGCCUCUGCCCUUCCUGAUCCAGCAGUGGUGGGGCAGGGAGAGGGCUGGCUCUGACAGGGCUGUUGUGGUUUAGGAAUGGUGCUCUCCAAUUUCCUACUCCCACUACAAAGACCACGUGUCUCUCCAGAUUGAUAUUCCCACCAUUGUCCCCACACCACAGGGGCUUUGCCUGCCUGGCCCUGCUUGAUCUCAGACACGUUUCACAGUCAGGGAUAACCUGGAGAUGGUGUCCAUGGUUAAACCUACCCCUUGCUCAUGAGCCCAUCUGGGGGUUGCAUCUCUGCUCUGAUGACCUGGGGUGUCCAGAAAUAACUCACCCUUGUGUGACCAGUCCAGACCCAGCUGAGACACUUUAAUCCUGGCAGCCCCAUCCUCCUCUCUGUUGUUUUGAUGCUCUUCAGUGCCUGACUCUUGGGCACGUGAGCAUCCAUAGGAGGGACUUUCACAGCCAACUUCUCCCCUGGGCAACGAUGUCUUGCCCCCGUCCAGCAGCCCAGAUGGGUUUCCCUCUGCACUGCCAAUUGUCCCUUUUCCAUCAUUCCAGCCACCCCACAGAGCAUUUCCCACCAUCCCUGAGUCAGUGCAGAGGUGCAGCGCUGGCCAUUUCUCUCCCUCAGAGCUGCGGGUAUGGUCCCAGUGCUGCAGUGACUGCAGGAAAGAGGACCCCACAAUAGGUCAUUUGUUGGUCAAAUACAGACAGAAAGAGUGAGAAACUGUCUGUGACUUGGGUUUUGGCCUCGCAGCCCCUGCCGUGGUUUGCAGGGAGCUGCAGUGUGGCACAGCCCUGGCUGUGCCCUGCAGUGCUGGCCUGGGAGAAGGUGUCGGUGCCAGCUGGCGCAGGGAGCUGCAGCGUGUGGGGAACGAAUCCCUCCUGGCCUCCUGCCCCCGGGUGACACUGCAGGGCCUCAUGGAGCCAAGGGGCCAUUGUAGCACUUCAGGGCCCCAUGGAAUUAAGGGGACUGUUUGGACAUUGCAGGGCCUUGUGGAACUGAGGCCAUUGUGACACUUCAGAACCAAAGGGCCACUGUGAAACUACGGGGCCUUGUGGAACUGAUACUGAAAUUGUCCAAAUAGAUACUUUCUAACACAGUUUGGGUAUUAGAAACCAGCCAUUCUUUAUGCAGUGCUGGUCACUUGGGGGAUCAUUCAUCCAUGUGAGUGCCCCAAACAUCAAGUCAGCAGAGGUCUUAUCACACACAGUGAUUACAUAUUCACAAGCUGUUCCUCUGUGGUGGCCUGUAGGUCUCACAGUAUAAAUAAUUCCAACUUUAUAACUGAAAUAUGUGAUUGAUUUUGUAAUUACCUUACUUAUGUAAUGAGGAUUAACCUCAUGGGCUUUCUUAUCUAUAUAAGGAAGUGAGCUGGCUGUUGCUGCAUGAACACGGAGUGUCAAGUCACCCGUCUCCGAAACUGAAACCAUUGGUGACCCCGAUGUGAUCACGACAGCUUCCACCAAUAGCACAGGGAACAGGCAGGGCAGCCAAGAGGAGCUGCCCACAGCUUUGAACUGUGAAAAGUGGCGUCCAGUGCUGCGGGGCAUCCAGGAGGAGUUGCCUUUGCAGGCUUUGCAGCCUUUGAGCUGCAAAGAAUGGUGUAGAGAGCCGUGAUCAGUCUGGAUGCCCCCCCUUUUUCCCCCUCUUAUUCUUUUUCUUUUUGUAAGUGGAAGACACCACCAGCAUGGGAGCAGGGGCUUUGACAACAGAGGACCCCCUCCUGCAGGUAUGGACUCCUAUUUUAAAGAAAAUAUUUGAAAAAUAUGAUGAACGGACUUUAUUAGUCCUAAUAACAUGACGUGAGAGCCACGGACUGGACGUGUUGGAAGGGGCUGCCCUAGAUUUAAAAAGUUGGGAGUGGGCUGGCUGAUAUAUCCUCACAACUGCCUUUACAGGAGACGACUCUGCCAAUAAUGCUGUUAAACAUUGGAGACUUGUAAUGGACAUGAUAAAAUAGCUGCAGAGCAAGCGGGUGGUUAGGACAGCAGAGGCAUCGCAGGUGGUGAACGGCGAAAGCAGGGCAGGAGGGAGAGGGGGAGGUGGCAAGGAGAGCAGAUGCUGUGCUGGGUGAGUGAGGCAAGAGGAUGAAUGCAGAAAACACAGGGUGCUGGGAGGCCACUGGGCAGCUGUGGACCCUCCCCAGGCGAGGGUGACCUGCCUGAGGAGCACCCUUACGCCCCCUGGGACCAGGCUGCUGCCCCAGCAGGGGUAUUUGCCCAGUGGGAUGUCGCCCAGUUGCCCGGUGCCGUGCCAUGCCCCAGCUGGGAGCGUGUUGUCAGCAGAGUGCGCCGUCCCUGGGGCCGGCA